rnacentral:rRNA from 1 species
GUUAAAAAGCUCGUAGUUGAAACUUGGGCCUGGCUGGCGGGUCCGCCUCACCGCGUGCACUCGUCCGGCCGGGCCUUCCUUCUGAAGAACCUCAUGCCCUUCACUGGGCGUGCUGGGGAAUCAGGACUUUUACUUUGAAAAAAUUAGAAGUGUUCAAAGCAGGCCUUUGCUCGAAUACGUUAGCAUGGAAUAAUAAAAUAGGGCGUGCGUUUCUAUUUUGUUGGUUUCUAGAGACGCCGCAAUGAUUAACAGGAACAGUCGGGGGCAUCAGUAUUCAGUUGUCAGAGGUGAAAUUCUUGGAUUUACUGAAGACUAACUACUGCGAAAGCAUUUGCCAAGGAUGUUUUCAUUAAUCAGUGAACGAAAGUUAGGGGAUCGAAGACGAUCAGAUACCGUCGUAGUCUUAACCGUAAACUAUGCCGACUAGGGAUCGGGCGAUGUUCUUUUUCUGACUCGCUCGGCACCUUACGAGAAAUCAAAGUUUUUGGGUUCUGGGGGGAUUAUGGUCGCAAGGCUGAAACUUAAAGAAAUUGACGGAAGGUCACCACCAGGCGUGGAGCCUGCGGCUUAAUUUGACUCAACACGGGGAAACUCACCAGGUCCAGAUGAAAUAAGGAUUGACAGAUUGAGAGCUCUUUCUUGAUUUUUCAGGUGGUGGUGCAUGGCCGUUCUUAGUUCGUGGGGUGACUUGUCUGCUUAAUUGCGAUAACGAGCGAGACCUUACUCUGCUAAAUAGCCAGGCUAACUUUGGUUGGUCGCCGGCUUCUUAGAGAGACUAUCAACUCAAGUUGAUGGAAGUUUGAGGCAAUAACAGGUCUGUGAUGCCCUUAGAUGUUUGGGCCGCACGCGCGCUACACUGACAGAGCCAACGAGUUCUUUUCCUUGUUCGAAAGAAUUGGGUAAUCUUGUUAAACUCUGUCGUGCUGGGGAUAAAGCAUUGCAAUUAUUGCUUUUCAACGA